rnacentral:lncRNA from 15 species
AUGAGUGUUUGUGUGGAGGAAGACGAGGACAGAGCAGAGUCUCCAGUGUCCAGCUGUCUGUCUAUGAAGAGUGAUUGGUCCAAACAUCAUCCUCUGAACUUCAGUAAUGAACCUGGACCCUCAGACACAAAAGUUCAGUACAACAGACAGAGAGCAGAGUCUCUAGUGUCCAGCUGUCUGUCUAUGAAGAGUGAUCUGUCCAAAGAUAAUGAUCCAUACUUCAGUAAUGAACCUGGACCCUCAGACACAAAGUAAGAAACUUUUUUUACUGUAAACUGACCUGAUGGAAGAUGAUUCAUUGAGCACGAAGACAAGAUAGAUUUAUUUUCAUGAUGCAGAACUAUUAGUGCAGACACUGUUUCAAACUAAAAUGUAUCUUAUUUUAUUUCUUUAGCAAAACAUGUCGCUGUAAAUAUCUGUAACUAUUAUCUAAAAGAAUCUGUUUCUAAUGUGUAAUUAAAUAUAUUGGUUCUAAAGAUGAAGAAACAAACAUCCAUUUAUUUAUGUAAAAGUUAUCUGUAGAUUUAAAAACAGGGACAGAAAAUGUCAAAUUUAGGUUUAGAGACUUCUUUUUUUAAGAAUAUUUGAACUGAUAUAUUCCUUCAUUUGAUAGUUGACAAUAUAAAGUGACAGGAAAAAUAAAAGGAAUGAAAAACAAACAAAUAAACUGUUUGUAGUUUGUAGCUGUUACGUGCUAUGUGUCUUACAGUAAACUGCUGGUCUAUCAUAAUUAUUAAGAGCACUUCUAAUCUCAGUUUAAACUAACACAAGCUAAUCUGCCCACAGUGACUGUAGAACAGUGAAGGACAUAAUCAGCUCUCUUUAAUGGAAGGCUUUUAUUGUGAAACAGCUGCAGGAAGUGUUGAGUUUGUAUUAAUAACAAACUACAGGCAGAACAAUAAAUGUUUAAUAAGAAAGACGGAUAGGAAAAGCACUCAGUGUUUAUGAAAGCAGGAGAGUUGAAAUAAAAGGAAUCAUUUUCAUUACAGACUGAAUGCUGAAUCCAAACAGAAAAGUUAACAACGCUUUUAAUGUUCUCUGUGACCAUCUGAGCUUCCAGACAGUGUCGGACAAAUCUCAGUAUUUUUCAUCAACAAUCAACAAAUCAUUUUAGUUAUAAAGAAAUGUCUUCACAGAGAGAGGAAGAGGAGUCAUGUUUCUGUGGAGGAGAAGCUGUCCUGCUGUGUUUUGUGUCAGGACGUCCUGAAGGAUCCAGUCUCUACCAGCUGUGGACACUGGUUCUGCAGACAAUGCAGCACCUCAUACUGGGACCAGUCUGCUUCAUCAGGAGACUCCUCCUGUCCCCAGUGUGGAGAAAGAUCCAGAACAAGAGCUGGACAGCAGACAGACAGUCAGACCAGCACUGUACAAAGUAAGACUGUGCAUCUUAAACUAAUCUUAAUAUAACCUGCUACAUUUCAUUACAUUAAGUUUAUUUAGA